AACAUGUUGUCUGUGGUACCCUACUCUGGAUAGUGACAAUCAUGUGUAAUUAAAUUUGAUUGACACUUCUGUGAGUAGAGUAACGCAUGACACGUACG
ensembl:miRNA